CGCGUAGGUGGUAGUACAAGUCUGAGGUGGAAUCUUAGGGCUUAACCCUAAAAUUGCCUUGGAAACUGUAUUACUUGAGUCAGUGAGGGGAGGGUAGAAUUCCUGGUGUAGCGGUGAAAUGCGUAGAUAUCAGGAGGAAGGCCGGUGGCGAAGGCGGCCCUCUGGCGCUGAACUGACACUGAGGCGCGAAAGCGUGGGGAGCAAACAGGAUUAGAUACCCUGGUAGUCCACGCCCUAAACGGUGGGCACUAGGUGUAGGGCUCGUAAGGGUUCUGUGCCGAAGCGAAAGCAUUAAGUGCCCCGCCUGGGGAGUACGGCCGCAAGGUUGAA
rnacentral:rRNA from 1 species